rnacentral:rRNA from 1 species
UACGUAGGGUGCAAGCGUUGUCCGGAAUUAUUGGGCGUAAAGAGCUUGUAGGCGGUUUGUCGCGUCUGCUGUGAAAUUUCGGGGCUCAACCCCGAACUUGCAGUGGGUACGGGCAGACUAGAGUGUGGUAGGGGAGACUGGAAGUCCUGGUGUAGCGGUGAAAUGCGCAGAUAUCAGGAGGAACACCGAUGGCGAAGGCAGGUCUCUGGGCCAUAACUGACGCUGAGAAGCGAAAGCAUGGGGGAGCGAACAGG